GGCUGGUCCGAGUGCAGUGGUGUUUAUAAUUAAUUGAUCACAACCAGUUACAGAUUUCUUUGUUCCUUCUCCACUCCCACUGCUUCACUUGACUAGCCUAAA
ensembl:misc_RNA Y_RNA Y RNA